GUUUUCACGAGUCUAUAAUUGGACACGUAUGUAAGUAGAUAAGAAUAUAAAUACAAACAUUAGAAACUCGAAUCGUGUUGUAUAUUUGAGGUGUUACAUUUUUUUCUUAGAAACGUUUGCAAACAUAACGUUUAUGUUUCACACGUCUAACGUUUGGCACGUCCGUUAGAAAUCUCUCUCUUCCGGUCACUUAAUAUUCAAUGGCAAUUAGCAAAAUUUCAAGCCUACGCGGUCUUGCCUCUUCAACUUUAACGUUCGUAUUAGCAAUGUUCGCCCAGCAAACAUCAGAUUGCAAAAGAAAGAAGAAAGAAGAAAGAAGAAGGGAGACGAAUGUUGUUCGUUCGAUGAGAACGAAGAUAGUGAAUAAGUUAUAGAAAUGCCGGAAGGAUGGACACAACUGUGUCGUUAGUUUCGAUUAAAGAAGCGAGGGUGCCGCAGGUGAUACUGGAAGGAGAAAGGUCGUGGUUGACCAACGCGACGAGAACAAGGAGAAUACCUGGCGUCGGCCGGAAAAGACAUAACUGAUGCGAAUCGAGAGCCACGUGGUGCACACAUACAAUAUGUAGUAU
rnacentral:misc_RNA from 1 species